UCAUAUUCAUGAGCGGUUCUUAUAAAGUGGCUCCAUUUUACAUCCAAGCUCUCUCAUUCACAUUCAGCAGCUGCGUGUGUUGUUGGUUCUCGAGUAUAUCAGAAAGAUGUCUGACGAGGGGAAGCUCUUCAUCGGUGGCCUGAGCUAUGAAACCACCGAGCAGUCAUUGGAGGAUGCUUUUUCCAAGUAUGGAACCAUCGCCAAAGUCGACAUCAUCAGAGAUCGUGAGACGGACCGGUCUAGGGGCUUCGGGUUUGUUACGUUUGAAAAUCCGGAUGACGCCAAGGACGCGAUGGCUGCGAUGAAUGGGAAGUCUGUCGAUGGUCGAAUGAUUCGCGUUGAUGAAGCUGGCAAGUCUGGAGGAAGGUCUGGUGGCUUCAGAGGGUCUGGUGGCGGCCGGGGCUUUUUCAGAGGAGGCAGAGGACGAGGAGGUGGAUAUGGCGGUGAUAGAGGUUAUGGAGGAGACCGUGGCUAUGGAGGUGGCGACAGGAGCUAUGGGAGUGGGGAAAGGAGCUAUGGGAGUGGGGACAGGAGCUAUGGGGGUGGCGACAGGAGCUAUGGUGGUGACCGCGGCUACGGCGGUGGUGAGCGGAGCUACGGAGGUGGUGAGCGCAGCUAUGGCGGUGGUGACCGCAGCUAUGGUGGCGGUUACUUCAACAGAAGUGCGGGCUACUCGGGUGGUGGAGGAUACAGGGACAACAGGAGCCAGGGUGGUUAUGAGCGAUCUUCAGGCGGCUCCUACAGAGACAGCUAUGACAGCUAUGGUUGAGGUCACUGGAUGUAGAGGUCAAGCUGAGGUUCAGACCAACAGAGACUAAUGCAGGAUUUAAACUUCAGGAUCUGGAUGGGGUUUAAUUUUCUGCAGUCCUCAGCUCUCCAUAAGAACAGCACCCGAGAGUCUGAAGAGGCGGAGAUAUGGCUGUGCUGUCCCCUUUAGGUGCAGCCAUGAUAUCUGAAAAACCGUUCUGGUCUCACGAAACCAGAGGUCCAUAUGGAACCAUGGUGAUGGAGUAGGAAGCAAGCAGAAAUUAUCCAAACAACAAAUGUACUUGGCUGCUUUCUAUCUAAAAUGCACCAUUUUUUGCUUCCCAAGUCAAUGCAUGUCCGGUUUUGGAAUGCUGUUGGAGAUGGUGACUGAGUAGAUGGAAUGUGCCCAAUGUCCUUUUAAUUCAUAAUUCUAUAUUCCUUAUUUUAAUUUUGGGUGUGAAUUUAUUUUACAUGAUCACUUCAGUUUGUUUUACGCUUAUUGGAAAUGUUUUUAAUAUUUAAAAUGACUGGCUUUCUCCUCCCCCCCCUCCCCUGUGAGAGCUGAGCUUGCUAGUGAACUUCCAUUUGUGCUGUAACUUGUUUGUAAUGUGCAAGCUUUAAGUAGGGAUGGUUUGACAGUGAUGGCAUCUUGCAUAUCUUGAUCAUUAUUGUUUGCCUCCGUCUACUGUAGAUUUUGGGGAUUUCUGCUAAAAUUUGACUAGCCCACCUGCAGGCAUGUGCGAUUCUCUAUCUGCCCCUUCCAUGUUCAUGCCUCAUCUGCAUGACAUUUAGGUUGUAGCCUGUUCACUGGUAUGAGGGUCGGGUGUAGCAAUAGUGUUAGUGUAUUGCAUGCCUCAAGGUAAAGAGUUGACCUGUAAUGUAAAACUAAAGACUAGAGGAUGGCUAGCUCACCACAAAGGCUAGUCUUAACAUCCUUAGUAGUGUUAUGAAGUGGAUGGGGAGUGGGGUUCUGUCUGUACACUUUGGAGUGAUUACCACAAGGGGGCAGUAGUGUCUUGCAGGUUUGUACAUCCUGCUGAGUUAAGGAAUCUCUUGGCUGCCUUUCAAAAUAAAUACAAGUGCAUGUUUUGAGGUUCACAUGUUUAAUGAGUACAUGGGGUACACUUUUAAACUGUUCACUUCAAUUAAGGGUAUAUCUGAAUACUUUUAUCCCUUAGUGUACCUGUGAGGCUUCUUAAUGACUGAAUAAAUCCAACCAAGGUA